GUGCCAGCCGCCGCGGUAAUACGGAGGGAGCUAGCGUUGUUCGGAAUUACUGGGCGUAAAGCGCGCGUAGGCGGCUUUUCAAGUCAGGGGUGAAAUCCCGGGGCUCAACCCCGGAACUGCCCUUGAAACUGGAUGGCUAGAAUACUGGAGAGGUGAGUGGAAUUCCGAGUGUAGAGGUGAAAUUCGUAGAUAUUCGGAAGAACACCAGUGGCGAAGGCGACUCACUGGACAGUUAUUGACGCUGAGGUGCGAAAGCGUGGGGAGCAAACAGGAUUAGAUACCCGGG
rnacentral:rRNA from 1 species